rnacentral:lncRNA from 1 species
AAAAAGUCAAGUUAAUUGCAAGCAGAAGUUGAAAAUCAAGUUUAAAUUAAUCAAAAAUUUAAUUAAACUAAAUGAUCUUUGACUAGCAGCAGUUUUCUUGGCUGAGGGUUAAAAAAUAAAACCAUAAUAGAGAAUUUUUUUUUAAGAUGGAAUCUAGCUGUGUUGACCAGGCUGGAGUGCAGUGGUGUAAUUACAGCUCACUGCAGCCUCAACCUGCCAAAUUCAUGCCAUCCUCCCACCUCAGCUUCCUGUAUAGUUGGGACCACAGGUGCAUGUCACCAUGCCCAGCUAAUUUGUAUAGAAACUGAGUUUUGCCAUGUUGCCCAGACUGGUCUCAAACUCCUGGGCUCAAACAAUCCCGUCGCCUUGGCCUCCCAAAGUGCUGGGAUUACUGGUGUAGGCAAGGAUGCCUGGCCUAGUAGAGAACAUUUUUUUCUGUACUAUAUAGCUUUCAAUAUAGUGGGAGUAAUAGACAAGUAUAAAAUAAUCAAUUUGAUAUAGGGAAGAUUAGGUUACACAUGAGAAGAAUAUGUAAAUUAGACUGAAGGAAUAAGUAUAUUUUGUAUUAUGUUUAAAACUUUGUGUAAGGAGAUAUGAAUAGUUGAAUAAAUUACUUGUACAGGAAUUAAUAUCAUAUCCUGCAUAAUGAAUUCUCAACAGAUGGAGACGUAUUCCAAAGUGCCUCUGUCUUAAUCUUAAUAAUUAGUGGGAUUCUAGACUUCCACAGGUCAAUUCUACAACUAGCCCAUUAUUUCUGCGGUUUUAUAAUUUUUAAAUAUAAAUACGUAAGACUUUUCUUUGUUGUGUAGAUUAUGAAAGAAAACUUGAGAAAAUUAAUUCUUAAUACAAACAAAAACAACAAAAUGCAUUUCUGUAUUUAUAUUUAACAAUAGUCAUUUCAAAAAAUCUGUUAUGAUUUGUUUUAAAAAUAAAUUCAAUGCAUGAACUAAAAUAGUGCUUAUUAAUAUAGUAUUAAUAUCCAACAACACUGACAUAAAUAUAUUUUUCCUUAGGGAUUAUAUGUUAUUAUUCUGAGAUCUAAUUUCUAAUUUUUUUUAGUGCUUAAGUUUUGAAAUUGUGCUUGUGAUGCUUCUUGCUUUUCCUUGUUCAUUUUGUUUUAUUGAUAUUUGUUAAGAAGCAUAUUGGAUUGGCUACUUUAGCAUAAUUUUUCUUCUUCUUACCUAGAAAACAUCUUAAAAUAACUUAUAUCUCAUCACUCAAAUCAAUUUUAAAGUUAUUUUAUGAAAUUUACAUGCUACAGACCCUUUUUGACCCUGGUCCUACUCAUAUAACAUUUACAAGUCCUUUCUACAAAAAAAUUGCUAGGCCUUUACCCUGAAAAGAAAGUGAUAUUUUUAGCAGCUGAAAAUAACAGGCUUUGCCUUAUGAUUUGAUUUCAUCUUUUGUUUCUUAAAUAAAACUGUACUACCCUAUUUUCAUAAUGUUUUGAUCAACCUAUAUAGAACAAUGAGCACUAAUUGACUAAUCUCGUCUUCAGGACUUCUGUUAUUAUAUGCUCAACAGAGACUAUUUUAUAGAUAAUUUCAGCUCCAACAGUUUUUUUUUUUUUAAACCUCUGCUUUAUACCUCCUGUACCAGUAGAUCUCAGUCCUUCUGAAAUAAUGUCUCCUUGUAAUUAUAACAACUGUGUAGUUUUAUUUAGUGACAUGAAAUCCAUGUGUUCUAAUGAAGGGAUAAUGAAAAAAAGGGCCCUCAUUUAAUAAUACCACAAGGCUAGCACUCUUGCAAUAUUUGUUAUUAUAAUAUAUAUGGUAUUUUUUUUUACAAUAUAUUAAUGAUAUCAGCGUUUCAGGUAUCAGGUAUCUGCAUCUCCCACUGCAUUCUUUGAUCAUCUUGAAACAGAUACCUGUUAUGAAUAAAUUGACUUCAGUUCUCAGAACAUGACAGAUAACUUUGUUAUUACUCAUAGUUUCAGUGUUCCCUACCUACUUUUUUGUCUAGUGCAUAUCUACUCAUGCUUUAAUAUUAUGCUCAAGGGCAGCCCUCUUUAUAUUUUAUUUAAAUCCCAGAUAGAUUUUACUGCCACAUUAUUUUUUAUUUCUCCUGGAUUUUACACAGUGUGGUUCUGAAUGGCCAGUAACUAUUACCCUUUAAUUUCUUUCUGUCAUUCACAAAUAUCUGAGAACAAACACAUGAAAAAGAUACCGAAGAGAGAAGAUAAGUUUUAAUACUAAUUGAGCAGAUUAGAGUCAUAGCUUUGGAUACAGAGAUGGCUAAUAUUUCCAUCCCUUCUCUCAAAGGGUUGCUGACACAGCUGGACAUACACAGUGCCCUUGUGAGGGAGAGUCAGCAAGGUGAAAUUGACACAAAGGGUGAGCCAAUAUAUUCUAUGCCAAACACACACCUUUUUGUUUCCAAACUCAACAAUCAGGUAAGUCAAAAUGGAGAAAGAAAUGCUAAGUCAGAAAGACACCAGUGAAAAAUAAAAAAAGUGAGGAAUGAGGAAUAUAUGUUCACAGUAAAAUUUCAUGCCAUUGAUAAGGUGGAGAGAGAAUUUAGAUAAAGAGAGGGUUAUGAUCAACUUUCUCCAAGAUAUAUAGCUUAAAAAUGCAGCAGUCUUUCAGCCGGUAGAACAGAGUAGAGCUGACCUUGGCCAGCUGACCUGGGCAGAAUGAAGCAACUCCUGCCACAGAAUAGCAUUUCAUCCUUGCAUCCUGCACUGGGACCAUCAUGUGCUUUUGAUGAAAGUCAAGAAUAAACCCUAAUCUCAGCUCAUACAAGACAUUAGAAGUGCCUUUUUCUGCUAUUCCUACUCCCAUUUAAUUGUGUCUUUUGAUGUUUGGCUGGGAGCUUUGGCCUGGAUCCCUGUGGAAUUUGCCUGAUUCGUUCACUAUAUCAUCCAAAGCUGGACACACACACCACACACACAGAUACACAGACACACACAUGUACAUAGAGAGACACACAGAGAGAGAGACUCUAAGCACACACUCUGUUUAUUCCACAGGUCGUUGUGCCUGCCCUGCCUGGGUGUUUUUUCAAAAUCUUGUGGAUAUGAAACUAUAGACGGUGUUGUGACCUCUGCUGCAGUGGCUUGGAAAUUCACUGGCAGCGGGCACAGUGAUGCAGAGAAAAUAUUGAAGGGGACCAAUUCAGUGUGGAAUUCAGAGAAGGCCACUCUGGAAAAUUACUUCAUAUGCUAAUAUAUGAGGUGUGAAUGGAGGUCCGUCAGUCUAUGAUAGAGCUUCAUCACUCUAGAACAACUCUCUUCUGGAGAUGAAAUAGGAGGCUCAAUAAUGCAGUUAUGGAAGGGACAUAGGCAAGUGUCAGUUAUCUUGGUAGAUUUCUUCAAAUAAUUAUUGGUCAUAAAACUCCAAAGACGAUAGAUUGCUCCAAAGGUCUGUGUAAGCAGAGAUAGGGCAAAGAAUUGAGAGUAGGAUAGCCAAAGACAAUGAUGUGUCCCAGAAUAGAAAUGGAAAGAAAUUAGAUGCUUCGGUAAUAUGAAAGAAAAAGACAUUAUUAUCCAAUAAGAAUUUGAAAGACAUGAAUAAAAAGAGUUAAAAAUGUGUGACAUAAAGCAAAUUCAUAAUUUUAAAAAUGCUUCUGGGUGUAAGAUACAUUGAAUAUCGCCAAGCAAUUAAUAGAUGUUAGGUCAAGACUUUCAAAUAAUUAAUUUAUACUUUAAGCAAAUUCUUUCUUCUGAAAAGUUCUCCAAAAAAUAGUAAUGUGACAUUUGGAGAAUUAUGUUUAAGAUAUUAUUGUAGAAAUGAUAAACUGAGAUUUUGGUCAGCAAAACAAGUGCAAGGGUAACAAAAAUACAAUAAGUCUUCUGAAGAAGUCAGUGUUCCUAAAAUAAUUGGUCUUCAUAUUGAAUUUUCAUAAAGUAGAUAUAUCGAUUACUUACAUAAACUUUGACAGAGUUAUUCAAUGUACAUUUACAGAGAAAUGAAAUAUAAAUCUCUAUUAAAUAAAUAAGUGAAUUAGUUUGAAAUUACUCCAUUGUUUUGGUGGCAUAAUUUUUAAAAAUUGACAACUAGAAUAUAACACAUUUCUAAAUUUCUUAGAUUUACUUCGUAAACUUAACAGUAUACAGAAACAUUAUUGAUUAUUAAUAAUUAAACGGGAAAAUUUUUGAGAAAAUAAAUCAUCUUUUUUUGAUCUUUUUGAGACCAUUGGCUUACAAAACAAAUCUAAUUUUGCUUACAUAGAAAAUAAAAAAGGGAACAAGCUUUCAAUGCCACAGGUUUUGGAUCUGGAGCUUUUUUAAACAGAGGUGAUUGUGGACACAGGGAAACGUAAAAUGUCUAAGGCUGGCUCCAGCAUUUGUCAUUGGAGGAUUGUGAUAUUAAGAUUUUAUAACUCUAUAUGAUUGACAUGAGGUUAUCAGGUAGAAAACAUGAAUUUAUAGCAUGUCAUGAUUAGCAACAGAGGCAAAUAAAAACAGCAAUAUUAUCUCUUUGAAGGAGAGUAUUUUUCUGUUUUUCUUAAGUUUUAGAGUAAGAAAUAUAAAACUUUUGGCCUGUAGAUUGGCACAGUAUUCAGAGCUAUAGUAAUCCCUGCUGGUUAAGAUUGUUUAGCUGCCCCAAAUUCUUCCCUUCUGGUCUCAAUGAGAUGACAAGGUAAUUGAAUAUGCACUUCAUUGCCCUUCUUCAGGGAUGAAAUUGAUGAGCAAUAGAUGGAAUAUGCUCCACUUCAGAAGUAAACGUAUCAGUUAAGCUUGUUCAGAAAUGUUCAUGUUUGAGAAACAAUUCCAAAUAAGCAAUCUGAAAAUAUGAAUUUGUGCGUAUAAAAUAUACACAUAUAUGUAUAUUGUGUGUGUGUGUGUGUGUAGUUUAACCUCAUUAUUCAUGAAUUCUGUAUUAGUGAAUUUUCCUAUGUAGUAAAAUUUAUCUGUAAUCCCAAAAUCAAUACUUGCAAUGUUUUCAUGGUCAUUUGUGGACACGUGCUAAACAGAAAAAAAUUGUCUCAGAAGACACACAAGUCUUGUAACAUUGCUGAGAAGAGGCUAAAUUGUUACAAACACUGUGGCAAGCUUCUUGGCAACAUUUACUAAAUAUGUAUAUAUGCAUAUUCCUGCAAUACUCUCCUGGAAGAUACUCAGCAGGCAUGCAUAUCUGUAUAUAAUAAAUGACAUUUAUAAGAAUUUUCAUAUAUGCAUUAAUUAUAAAAGUCUCAAAUUAAAAAAAACCCAUCCACCAAUAGAUGAAUAAAUACAUGUAGUUAGGUAUAAUAUAUUAGUAAUGAAGAAUAAAAUAUAACAGUAAAAAUAAACUGCUACUGCACAAAUUUUCACUGCUAUAUUUUAUUCCAUAUUAUUAAUAUACCAAGAUGUCACAGGUACACUUGGGAGUGUCUUUUGAUGAAUAUCAAAUGUUCUUAAUUUUAUUAUAACCCACAUUAUCAAUCUGUUUUUUAGGAUAGGUUCAUUUGUACCCCAUUUAAGUGUUUUAUGAUGCCAGUGUCCUGACAAUAUUCUAUGUUUUCCUAUAGAAACUUUAAUGUUUUAUAUUUUACAUCUAGAUAGUAUUGCAUCUGAGGUUGAUGGAAAUAAGAUUAAUUUUCACUCAUGGUCCUAUCGACCUGGCUCUAUUCACUGAAGGCUUGUUUAUUCCCAUGACUGUUCAAUAUCCAUUUGUUCUAAGUCAAGACUCUGUUUGUCUGGGCUUGUUAUUGAUCCUAUAUUAUAUUGUGUUGGCCUUUUUUUUAUAUUUCUGCAAAAAGUGAUUUGUUAAUUAAAGCAGGUUUUCAUGGGUCUUGUUAUUUGGAACUUGAUUUCCUCCUGCUUAAUCUCUUUGUGUUAUAUUUUCUAGGCCUUUUAAUUCUCUAAUAAAUUUUGGACUCACCCUCUCAGUUUUCACAUACACAAAACUAUUGAGAUUUGGAUUGAGAUUAUAUUCUAUAUAUGGAUCAAAUCAUAGAGAAUUAACCUUAUAAUAUGAAGUCUUAUAACCCAUAAUUUUUAUAUAUCUCUCAACUGUUUUGCUCUUUUAAUAUUUUUAAUAAUAUAAGUUUUCCAUGUAGAAGUCUUAUACAUUUUUAUUGGAUUUAUUUUCAAGCAUUUUAUAUUUUAUGUUGUCAUUUCAACUUAAUUGAAUUUAAUUUUCAAAUUGUUUAUUAUGUACAAUGGAUUUCUGUAUAUUGAACUUUAAUCAAGUUAUGUUGCUGAUCUCACUUUCAAUUCUUCUUUUUUAUGUACAAAAUUAUGCCUGCAAACCAUAGCAAUUUUGUUACUUUUAACUUCUUAUAAAUUAUAUUUACUUUAAUGUAUUAUUGAAAUAGCUAAAAUCUCUGGAAAAAUGUCAACAUUGAAUAGUAAUUGCAGCUAAUAUUUUCUCCUUUUUUAUUCCUAAUAUCAGUAAUUUCUACUUUCUCACAUUCUAAAUCUUCCUCUAAAAUUUGGGCUUAGUUAACUUUUAUUCUUUGCUUCCUGGUAUACACACACGUUUCCCAAGCAUUCAAUGAAACACUAAUUUUCUGCUGUUGUGAAGGAAUUUUGCAUUUGUAAGUAAAGUCCAAAGUCAGUUGAUUUAAGAGAGAGAGGUUAUCCUCAGUCUCUCUGAUCUAGUCAGUGAUCAUUUUAAGAGUACCCUAUUUUUCCCAGAAAAAGAUAUGAAUUAUGAGAGAGAUUUGAUGUGAGAUUCUCCACUGCUGGCUUUGAAAAUGGAAGAGGCCUCACAUGGCAAGGACCUGAAGUAGCCUCUGGGAGCUAAGAGUGAUUGACCAUUGUCCUGUGGCCUCAAGAAAAUCAGGAGUUCAGUCUGCAACUACAAGGAGCUGAACGCUGCCAACAACCUCAAUGACACUGGAAGAACACACUGAACUCCAGAGAACACAGCCCAGGCCAAUACAUUGAUUUUAGCCGUGUGAAACCUAUUGUAGAUAACUCAGUUGUGCUGUGCUUAGACUUUUUUUUUUUUUUUUUUUUUGAGACGAAGUAUUGCUCUGUCGCCCAGGCUGGAGUGCAGUGACACGAUCUUGGCUCACUGCAACCUCCGCCUCCCGGGUUCAAACGAUUAUCCUGCCUCAGCCCCCUGUGUAGCUGGGAUUACAGGCACCCGCCACCAUGCCCGGCUAAUUUUUGUAUUUUUAGUAGAGACAGGGUUUCACCAUGUUGGCCAGGCUGGUUUCGAACUCCUGACCUCAAGUGACUGCCCGCCUUGGCCUCCCAAAGUGCUGGGAUUACAGGCGUGAGCCACCGCGUUCUGCCACUGUGCUCAGACUUCUGACAUAGAGAACUGCGAACUAAUAAAUGGCUUUUACAGCACUAAUUUUUUGUUAGUUUAUUACACAGCAAUAUAGAAAACUAAUAAAUAUCAAGUGAAAAUGAAUUGUUUGCUUCUAAGCACUUGAUUUAGAUAAAUCCUACAGGUUUGUUCAUGUAAUUAAAAAUAUGUGUAAUUUCCAUUGUAAGUUCUUUAUUCUUUUUUAGUGAUUACUCGAGAUGAUAGUAUGCAUUUUUAAACUGAUAUUGAUAACAUUCUUUACUAUUUCCUUGAUAAUGCUAAGCUCUUAGCAACUGCAUUCCACAUCCUUUUGUCUGUAUGCCAUUGUUGACAUGCAUUUUAAUUCUGUAUAUAUUUUAAAUACAGUAGCUAUAAUUAUUAUUUUUAUUUCACCAAUUAGCAUACAUUUAGAUAUUUCCAAAUCUUUAAGCAUUAUGUUAGUCUUCAGUUAUUUCUGCCUAUUAUUUGUUCAGUAUCAGCUUUCUUAGGAUAGGUUCUUAUUUACUAGUACUUAUUAGUAUUUUUUUUUGUUAGCAUAUUCUAAUAUUGUUUGAAUGGAAUAAAUUUUUUUACCUUCACUUUGAAAAUAUAUUUAUUUUCUAUAUAAUGAAUUAUCAUUUGGUAUAUUCUCUGUCAAUACUUUUAAAAUGUUAUUCCACUCUUUAUUUUUUCCAACAUAUCUGUUGACAGCUCCCAGUCUUCCUGCUUCUCCUUUAAAGGCACCUAUGUGUUUUCUCUGGCUCGUUUUAAAAUCCUUCCCUCCCCUCUUUCUUGAAAUUAUUAGCUUUUUUUUUUUUUUUUUUUUUUUUUUUAGCAGUCUAUCCCUCCUUCUUGGAAUUAUUAGUUUUAAACUGUUCUUUAAUAACUCUAAUGAAUUUUGAAAAAUUCCUGCCCCAAAUCCCUCUCAAUAUUGCCUCUGCAUCAUUCUUCCUUUCUUUUCUUCUACUGCAAAAAUAAUUACACAAAUGCUAUUUUUUAAUUAUUUUUUUAUUUUUUUAUUUUUUAGACGGAGUCUUGCUCACUCUGUCGCCCAGGCUGGAGUACAGUGGCGCCAUCUUGGCUCACUGCAAGCUCUGCCUCCUGGGUUCACGCCAUUCUCCUGCCUCAACCUCCCUAGUAGCAGGGACUACAGGUGCCUGCCACCAUGCCUGGCUAGUUUUUUGUAUUUUUAGUAGAGACGGGGUUUCACCAUGUCAGCCAGGAAGGUCACGAUCUCCUGACCUAGUGAUCCACCCACCUCAGCCUCCCAAAGUCCUGGGAUUACAGGUGUGAGUCACUGCGCCCGGCCAACAAAUGCUAUUUUUGCUUUGACCCUUUUCCUACUUAUAUUCAUUUUUGCUUUUUACUUUCCACCUUUUGUUUUGAACUUAUCUCCAAAUUCACUCUCUUCUGCAUGCCUAGUCUACUGUUCAGCCUAUUUAUUUUUUUAUUUCACUCAUUUUACUUUUCAUUUAUUUAUGUUUUAAAAUAAAUGCAUAAUAAAUUUAUGUAUUAAAUAAAAAUUCUCUAUGAAAGUUUAUAUCCUAUAAUAUUUCUUUUUCUUUUAAUAGCUAAACUUUAUUUUGUAAAGAUACAACCCCUGUCCUUAUAGACAAAUACAACCUCCCCAACUAUCAACAUCCCAUACCACAGUGGUACACUUCUUACUAUUGAUGAGCCUACCUUGACACAUCAUUAUUACCCAAAGUCUGUAGUUCACAUUAGGACUCACUCUUGGAGAUGUACAUUCUGUGGGUCUUGACAAUGACAUAUAUCACCAUCACAGUAUCAUACAAAAUAGUUUUCUUGCUCUAAAAAUCCUCCAUGCUCUUCUUAUUCACCUUUUCCACCCUCUACAAGCACCUGCAACCCAACAUCUG